rnacentral:rRNA from 1 species
GACGAACGCUGGCGGCGUGCCUAAUACAUGCAAGUUGAGCGCUGAAGGUUGGUACUUGUCCCAACUUGAUGAGCAGCGAACGGGUGAGUAACGCGUGGGGAAUCUGCCUUUGAUCGGGGUACAACAUGUGGAAACGAAUGCUAAUACCACAUAAAAACUUUAAACACAAGUUUUAAGUUUGAAAUAUGCAAUUUCAUCACUCAAAGAUGAUCCAGCGUUGUAUUAGCUAGUUGGUGAGGUAAAGGCUCACCAAGGCGAUGAUAGAUAGCCGAACUGAGAGGGUGAUCGGCCACAUUGAGACUGAGACACGGCCCAAACUCAUACGGGAGGCAGCAGUAGGGAAACUUCGGCCAUGGACGAAAGUCUGACCGAGAAACGCCGCGUGAGUGAAGAAGGUUUUCGGAUCGUAAAACUCUGUUGGUAGAGAAGAACGUUGGUGAGAGUGGAAAGAUCAUCAAGUGACGGUAACUACCCAGAAAGGGACGGCUAACUACGUG